CUAGAAGGGCUGGAAUCUGUUUUAGGACUGGGAUUGGAGUAUAACGGGGGAACGGUUAAGGAGCUGUGGGGGAGGCCUGGAGAGAAUGAGGGAGAAUCUAGGGAGUGUGAGGAUGCGGGAGAACUAUCUAAAAGUUGGGGACAGUAUCUGGGGAGGAUCAGAAGGAUACAACAUGGAACUUUUUUCCAUGGUGUUCCUGGGAAGGACAAGGAAGGGAAACUGACAUUUAUUGAGCGUUUGCUAUGUAAGAAAGAGGCUGAUUCAGGUGUUUUCUAAAAAUGUUAUAUGGUUUCAUAAUCACAGCAACCCUAUGAAAUAUUAUUCUAGUUGCACAGAUACGGGAGCUAAGACUUGUUUCCCAUUCUCACAAGUGUUAGCUUUGUGGAAAUGGGAAACAGACCUCUGGAAUCUCUUAUACUUAGCCCAGCGGUGGGUUGGAGAUGGCACGGAAUUAAAGAUUUGGGAAGAGACUGACUCACCGUCACACCCCUCACUUUUGUGCUAUAGUGGAUCAAUCUUCCUGUCCUACAACUGACCAAGGAUCCCCUAAAGACCCCUGGAAGGCUGGACCAUGGCACAAGAACUGCCUUCAUCCAUCACCGGGAGCAAGUGUGGAAGAGAUGCAUCAACAUUUGGCGUGAUGUGGGCCUUUUUGGGGUGCUAAAUGAAAUUGCAAACUCAGAAGAAGAGGUGUUUGAGUGGGUGAAGACGGCAUCCGGCUGGGCCCUGGCACUCUGUCGAUGGGCCUCUUCCCUCCAUGGGUCCCUGUUCCCCCAUCUCUCUCUCAGGAGCGAAGAUCUGAUCGCUGAAUUUGCCCAAGUCACAAAUUGGUCCAGCUGCUGCUUGCGUGUCUUUGCAUGGCACCCCCACACCAACAAGUUUGCAGUGGCCCUGCUAGAUGACUCAGUCCGUGUGUAUAAUGCCAGCAGCACCAUAGUCCCCUCCCUGAAGCACCGGCUGCAGCGAAAUGUGGCGUCUCUGGCCUGGAAGCCCCUUAGUGCCUCUGUCUUGGCUGUGGCCUGCCAGAGCUGCAUUCUUAUCUGGACCCUGGACCCUACCUCCUUGUCUACCCGACCCUCUUCUGGCUGUGCCCAAGUGCUGUCUCACCCUGGGCAUACACCUGUUACCAGCUUGGCCUGGGCCCC
rnacentral:sRNA from 1 species